UACACUCCUACGGGAGGCAGCAGUGGGGAAUAUUGGACAAUGGGCGCAAGCCUGAUCCAGCCAUGCCGCGUGAGUGAUGAAGGCCCUAGGGUUGUAAAGCUCUUUCACCGGUGAAGAUAAUGACGGUAACCGGAGAAGAAGCCCCGGCUAACCUCGUGCCAGCAGCCGCGGUAAUACGAAGGGGGCUAGCGUUGUUCGGAUUUACUGGGCGUAAAGCGCACGUAGGCGGACUAUUAAGUCAGGGGUGAAAUCCCGGGGCUCAACCCCGGAACUGCCUUUGAUACUGGUAGUCUUGAGUUCGAGAAAGGUGAGUGGAAUUCCGAGUGUAGAGGUGAAAUUCGUAGAUAUUCGGAGGAACACCAGUGGCGAAGGCGGCUCACUGGCUCGAUACUGACGCUGAGGUGCGAAAGCGUGGGGAGCAAACAGGAUUAGAAACCCCAGUAGUCCCAU
rnacentral:rRNA from 1 species